rnacentral:rRNA from 1 species
GAUGAACGCUGACAGAAUGCUUAACACAUGCAAGUCUACUUGAAUUUGGGUUUUUAACUUAGAUUUGGGUGGCGGACGGGUGAGUAACGCGUAAAGAACUUGCCUCACAGCUAGGGACAACAUUUAGAAAUGAAUGCUAAUACCUAAUAUUAUGAUAAUAGGGCAUCCUAUAAUUAUGAAAGCUAUAUGCGCUGUGAGAGAGCUUUGCGUCCCAUUAGCUAGUUGGAGAGGUAACGGCUCACCAAGGCGAUGAUGGGUAGCCGGCCUGAGAGGGUGAUCGGCCACAAGGGGACUGAGACACGGCCCUUACUCCUACGGGAGGCAGCAGUGGGGAAUAUUGGACAAUGGACCGAGAGUCUGAUCCAGCAAUUCUGUGUGCACGAUGAAGUUUUUCGGAAUGUAAAGUGCUUUCAGUUGGGAAGAAAGAAAUGACGGUACCAACAGAAGAAGUGACGGCUAAAUACGUGCCAGCAGCCGCGGUAAUACGUAUGUCACGAGCGUUAUCCGGAUUUAUUGGGCGUAAAGCGCGUCUAGGUGGUUAUAUAAGUCUGAUGUGAAAAUGCAGGGCUCAACUCUGUAUUGCGUUGGAAACUGUAUAGCUAGAGUACUGGAGAGGUAAGCGGAACUACAAGUGUAGAGGUGAAAUUCGUAGAUAUUUGUAGGAAUGCCGAUGGGGAAGCCAGCUUACUGGACAGAUACUGACGCUGAAGCGCGAAAGCGUGGGUAGCAAACAGG